GGGCAAUUAGCUCAGCUGGAUAGAGUGUUGGCCUCCGAAGCCAAAAGUCGUGGGUUCGAAUCCCGCAUUGCCCACCA
rnacentral:tRNA from 1 species